rnacentral:rRNA from 1 species
CCUACGGGUGGCAGCAGUGGGGAAUAUUGCGCAAUGGGCGAAAGCCUGACGCAGCGACGCCGCGUGAGGGAUGAAGGUCUUCGGAUCGUAAACCUCUGUCAGCAGGGAAGAACGGUCACUGUGCUAAUCAUCAGUGAAUUGACGGUACCUGCAAAGGAAGCACCGGCUAACUCCGUGCCAGCAGCCGCGGUAAUACGGAGGGUGCGAGCGUUAAUCGGAAUUACUGGGCGUAAAGCGCGCGUAGGCGGUAUGUCAAGUCAAGGGUGAAAUCCCCGCGCUCAACGUGGGAACUGCUUUUGAUACUGGCAGACUGGAGUGUGGGAGAGGAUAGUGGAAUUCGAGGUGUAGGAGUGAAAUCCGUAGAUAUCUGGAGGAACAUCAGUGGCGAAGGCGACUAUCUGGCACAUAACUGACGCUGAGGAGCGAAAGCGUGGGUAGCAAACAGGAUUAGAUACCCGAGUAGUC